GACGAACGCUGGCGGCGUGCCUAAUACAUGCAAGUCGAACGCAGUGGGGACGGGUGAGUAACACGUGGCUAACCUCCCAUCAGAGGGGAUAACACUUGGAAACAGGUGCUAAACCGAUACUGAUGGAUGGACCCGCGGUGCAUUAGCUAGUUGGUGAGGUAACGGCUCACCAAGGCCACGAUGCAUAGCCGACCUGAGAGGGGGAGCGGCCACACAGGGAGUGAGACACGGCCAAGAAUCCUAAGGGAGGAAGCAGUAGGGAAUCUUCGGACAUAGACGAAAAUAUGACCGAGCAACGCCGCGUGAGUGAAGAAGGUUUUCGGAUCGAAACACUCUGUUGUUGGAGAAGCGGUAUCUAACCAGAAAGCCACGGCUAACUACGUGCCAGCAGCCGCGGUAAUUC
rnacentral:rRNA from 1 species